UACGUAGGGGGCAAGCGUUGUCCGGAUUUAUUGGGCGUAAAGGGCGCGCAGGCGGCGCUUCAAGUCCGUUGUGAAAUUUCAGGGCUUAACCCUGACGGGUCAACGGAAACUGGAGUGCUUGAGUAUGGGAGAGGCAAGCGGAAUUCCUGGUGUAGCGGUGAAAUGCGUAGAUAUCAGGAGGAACACCUGUGGUGUAGACAGCUUGCUGGACCAUCACUGACGCUGAGGCACGAAAGCGUGGGUAGCAAACAGG
rnacentral:rRNA from 1 species